rnacentral:rRNA from 1 species
GACGAACGCUGGCGGCGUGCUUAACACAUGCAAGUCGAACGGAAAGGCCCUGCUUUUGUGGGGUGCUCGAGUGGCGAACGGUUGAGUAACACGUGAGUAACCUGCCCUUGACUUUGGGAUAACUUCAGGAAACUGGGGCUAAUACCGGAUAGGAGCUCCUGCUGCAUGGUGGGGGUUGGAAAGUUUCGGCGGUUGGGGAUGGACUCGCGGCUUAUCAGCUUGUUGGUGGGGUAGUGGAUUACCAAGGCUUUGACGGGUAGCCGGCCUGAGAGGGUGACCGGCCACAUUGGGACUGAGAUACGGCCCAGACUCCUACGGGAGGCAGCAGUGGGGAAUAUUGCAAAAUGGGCGGAAGCCUGAUGCAGCAACGCCGCGUGCGGGAUGACGGCCUUCGGGUUGUAAACCGCUUUCGCCUGUGACGAAGCGUGAGUGACGGUAAUGGGUAAAGAAGCACCGGCUAACUACGUG